rnacentral:hammerhead_ribozyme from 1 species
AACAGCUGACGAGCCCCAAAUAGGACGAAACGCUCGUCCUAGAU